ACCGGAGACGAAUUUGAGACAGAUCGACCUACGGGGGCCAGCAGGCGCGUCUAAUGCAGCCAGUGCGAUAGGGAUCCAGUGGCAGCAUAGAGCUGCGCUUUGUCACGUAGGAGGUGGACGAUAAGGGCUGGGCAGACCGGUGCCAGCGCGCGUAUACGGCAGCCCGAGUGAUGGCCGAUCUAUGGGCUAAAGCGUCCGUAGCUGGCCGCACAAGUCCAUCGGAAAAUCCACCCGCCCAACGGGUGGGCGUCCGGUGGAAACUGUGUGGCUUGGGACCGGAAGGCGCGACGGGUACGUCCGGGGUAGGAGUGAAAUCCCGUAAUCCUGGACGGACCGCCGAUGGCGAAAGCACGUCGCGAGGACGGAUCCGACAGUGAGGGACGAAAGCCAGGGUCUCGAACCGGAUUAGAUACCCGGGUAGUCCUGGCCGUAAACAAUGUCUGUUAGGUGUGGCUCCCACUACGAGUGGGUGCUGUGCCGUAGGGAAGCCGCUAAACAGACCGCCUGGGAAGUACGUCCGCAAGGAUGAAACUUAAAGGAAUUGGCGGGGGAGCACUACAACCGGAGGAGCCUGCGGUUUAAUUGGACUCAACGCCGGACAUCUCACCAGCAUCGACUGUAAUAAUGACGAUCAGGUUGACGACCUUAUCCGAGUUUCAGAGAGGAGGUGCAUGGCCGCCGUCAGCUCGUACCGUGAGGCGUCCUGUUAAGUCAGGCAACGAGCGAGACCCGCAUCCUUACUUGCCAGCAGCACUGCGAAGUGGCUGGGGACAGUAGGGAGACCGCCGUGGCCAACACGGAGGAAGGAACGGGCAACGGUAGGUCAGUAUGCCCCGAAUGUGCUGGGCAACACGCGGGCUACAAUGGUCGAGACAAAGGGUUCCAACUCCGAAAGGAGACGGUAAUCUCAGAAACUCGAUCGUAGUUCGGAUUGUGGGCUGCAACUCGCCCACAUGAAGCUGGAUUCGGUAGUAAUCGCGUGUCAUAAGCGCGCGGUGAAUACGUCCCUGCUCCUUGCACACACCGCCCGUCAAAGCACCCGAGUGAGGUCCGGAUGAGGCACGUUCUACGUGUCGAAUCUGGGCUUCGCAAGGGGGCUUAAGUCGUAACAAGGUAGCCGUAGGGGAAUCUGCGGCUUGG
rnacentral:rRNA from 1 species